rnacentral:siRNA from 1 species
UUGAGUACGUCCUCGAGAGUGCA